rnacentral:rRNA from 1 species
CUUCCUGGUGGCGAGCGGCGGACGGGUGAGUAAUGCAUAGGAAUCUGCCCGAUAGUGGGGGAUAACCUGGGGAAACCCAGGCUAAUACCGCAUACGUCCUACGGGAGAAAGCAGGGGCUCUUCGGACCUUGCGCUAUCGGAUGAGCCUAUGUCGGAUUAGCUAGUUGGUGAGGUAAUGGCUCACCAAGGCGACGAUCCGUAGCUGGUCUGAGAGGAUGAUCAGCCACAUCGGGACUGAGACACGGCCCGAACUCCUACGGGAGGCAGCAGUGGGGAAUAUUGGACAAUGGGCGCAAGCCUGAUCCAGCCAUGCCGCGUGUGUGAAGAAGGCCUUCGGGUUGUAAAGCACUUUCAGUGAGGAAGAACGCCUUGGGCCUAAUACGUCCAAGGGAAGACAUCACUCACAGAAGAAGCACCGGCUAACUCCGUGCCAGCAGCCGCGGUAAUACGGAGGGUGCGAGCGUUAAUCGGAAUUACUGGGCGUAAAGCGCGCGUAGGUGGCUUGAUAAGCCGGUUGUGAAAGCCCCGGGCUCAACCUGGGAACGGCAUCCGGAACUGUCAGGCUAGAGUGCAGGAGAGGAAGGUAGAAUUCCCGGUGUA